AGUGAACGCUGGCGGUAGGCCUAACACAUGCAAGUCGAACGGCAGCACAGUAAGAGCUUGCUCUUACGGGUGGCGAGUGGCGGACGGGUGAGGAAUACAUCUGAAUCUACUUUUUCGUGGGGGAUAACGUAGGGAAACUUACGCUAAUACCGCAUACGACCUACGGGUGAAAGCAGGGGAUCUUCGGACCUUGCGCGAUUGAAUGAGCCGAUGUCGGAUUAGCUAGUUGGCGGGGUAAAGGCCCACCAAGGCGACGAUCCGUAGCUGGUCUGAGAGGAUGAUCAGCCACACUGGAACUGAGACACGGUCCAGACUCCUACGGGAGGCAGCAGUGGGGAAUAUUGGACAAUGGGCGCAAGCCUGAUCCAGCCAUACCGCGUGGGUGAAGAAGGCCUGCGGGUUGUAAAGCCCUUUUGUUGGGAAAGAAAAGCAGCAGGUUAAUACCCCGCUGUUCUGACGGUACCCAAAGAAUAAGCACCGGCUAACUUCGU
rnacentral:rRNA from 1 species